rnacentral:misc_RNA from 1 species
GUGAAGAACGUAGCGAAAUGCGAUAAGUAAUGCGAAUUGCAGAAUUUCCGUGAGUCAUCGAAUCUUUGAACGCACAUUGCGCCCACUGGUAUUCCGGUGGGCAUGCCUGUUCGAGCGUCAUUAUCCUCCCUCAAACCUCGGGUUUGGUGUUGGACCCAAGUUGUGUGAACAACUGGUCUUAAAGACAAUGACGGCGUCCGUGGGACCCUCGGUGCAACGAGCUUUUAGGAGCACGCGUCGAGUUUCAAGGACCUUCCGGGCCGGUCUCCUUUACCAUUUUACAAGGUUGACCUCGGAUCAGGUAGGAAUACCCGCUGAACUUAAGCAUAUCAAUAAGCGGAGGA